UUUUUUGAGAAUUUGAUCCUGGUUCAGGACGAACGCUGGCAGUGUACCUUAAGCAUGCAAGUCGAACGGUGAAAUCUUUAGCCGCAAGGUUAGAGAUGGAGCAGUGGCAGACGGGUGAGGAAUGGCAGGAAUCUACCUUUUUGUGGGGAAUAGCUAGCCGAAAGGCUAAUUAAUACCGCAUAAGUCCGCAAGGAGAAAGACCUUAACCGGUCGCAGAAAGAUGAGCCUGUUCGCUAUCAGCUAGUUGGUGAGGUAAUGGCUCACGCAGCAACUGGGAAUUUUGCACAAUGGACGAAAGUCUGAUGCAGUGACACUGCGUGUGGGAUGAAGGCCCUCGGGUCGUAAACCACUGUGAUAGGGGAAAAACAUAAUGAUGGUACCCUAUUAGAAAGCGCCUGCUAACUACGUGCCAGAAGCCUCGGUAAUACGUAGGGCGCAAGCGUUGUCCGGAUUUAUUGGGCGUAAAGAGUAUCGUAGGCGGUUUGUUAAGUAUCGGGUUAAAGCCUGGAGCUCAACUCCAGAGAUGCUCGAUAAACUAACAGACUAGUGGUUGUUCGGGGUUGCUAGAAUUCUUGGUGGAGGAGUGAAAUCCAUUGAUAUCAAGAAGAAUACCAAAAGCGAAGGCAGGCAACUAGAACAUACCAGACGCUGAUGAACGAAAGCUAGGGGAGCGAAAGGGAUUAGAGACCCCUGUAGUCCUAGCCGUAAACAAUGAACACUAGCUAUUUCCCGUAAGGGGA
rnacentral:ncRNA from 1 species